CACACCACCCCCAGUGAAAUGCUGGCACCCAGAGAGCGCUCCUUUCAGCCAGAGAUCCCAGAACCAGCGGCUGUACUCUGGCAAAAGAGGCCCUGGGCUGAGACCUGGGCGAGUGUGUGCAGACACCCCUCCUCCUCUAAGAGUUUCCCUUUCCAACAGAAACCAUUUCCUUUUGCCACUAAAGCUAGGCUGCUUCCAAAAGUUUCUCACGAGCUUAAAAAAAGAAAACUGAAACAAACAAACAAACAAAAAAAUCUGACAGCUAUUAGAAGAGCCCACAAAAGCUUGCAGCCGCACCAAGGGUGAAGAAGCAGCAAAAGACCCAGAGGAACACGGAGUGUGGUGUGUCUAAUGGACUGGAAAGAGGUGAGGGUAAAAGGAUCCAGAAGCCUUGGGUGCUGUCUAUACCAGAGGCUCUUGUUACUGUUCAGGGGCAGACCAAGACUGGAGAUGAAGGGAUUCUUCUUUUUGGAAGAAUAACUAAGAACACCCUGAAUUUGGCAGUCUCUAAAUGAGAAUAAAUGAUAAACGGCCAUGACCAUGUGCAGGAGACAGCUGAAGAAGGGCAGGAGAUUCUGAAUAGCCCUUCUAGAAGCAUGAACAACCCCUGCAACGUGUGUAUAAAUCUGAAAUAUCUCCUGAUGCACAGAGGAACUCCUCCCCGCCCUCCCUUCCCGUCUCA